rnacentral:rRNA from 1 species
UCCUUGAACUCGUUGUCAGAUAUCAUUUGACCUGUGAUUAAUCAUCGUUCACGUCAUGUAUUAAUUAUAUAAAGUGUGUGUGUGUGUGUGUGUGUUUAUGCUUAUACCAUAAUGUCCCGUGACAAGAUUAUGAGAGACUACUUGUUUUUGUCAUGAUUUUAUGAUUUGUUGGUGGUCAGACUUUGACUUGUACAGCAUCGUAAUAAUAUGUCAAUGUUUAGACUUGGUUAUCGUUCAAAGUUCGUGAUCGGUUUAUACUUAUAAUGUAUACUAGAGUUCAGAUGUCUUUAAAUCUCUUACUUCCCCUCAUCGUUGUUAAAUACCAAGUCUAAUCCUCGUCUCGUCCCCCGGUUCCUUCGUCGUCGUCGAUCUUCGAAGCUCAAGUCUCUUCCUCCCUUCACCUCCUUCACCUUCUCUACCUCGUCGUCGCACCCUAACUCUUCUUCUCGUCGUCGUCGUCGCAAUCCCCUUCGUCUCCUCCUCCUCGUCUCUCUACUUGUCGCCGUCCCCGCACCCUCUUCGUCGCUCCGUUCCCUUCCUCCUUCUUCUCUUCGUCGCUCCGUUCCUCUUAGCGCACCCCGUGGUCUGCGGAGCAGACCAGCCCGCGCGCUCGCACCCCACUUCCGCACCACCUCCGCGACCACCACGACUUCCAUGAUCCGCCACGCCCCUCUACCGCCGCGUCCACCAACCGACCAGCACGCGCGCUCGACCACCACCACCGCGAUGACCACCUCACCUAUACCACCACACCACGACCUCCACCCAUACGAGCACCUACCUACCCACCGUCUCCGCGUGGUGGUGCGGCCGGACCGGUACCGUCGCCGGCCUCCAGUUCUUCCUCCACGCUCCCUCUCUCUACUCAUCGGUCCGGGCUAGCCUAGGGAGGUCGCGGAUCCCUAAAACAAGGGGAGGAGAGUAGACUUGAAACACUAAACCGGGAGAAAGAAGAGAAGAAAGAAGUGUUCUUCCAGGAGGGUGAAGAAAUAGAUCGGGGGACCAAUGAAGAGAAGUAGAGUGUGUUCAGAGAAGAAGGAAGAGAAGAGAAGAAGUGAGAAGAGCUAUCGGUGUAUCUGUCUUAGAACUACUAAUAAUCACGGAAACGCGUGUAAAGACGUUCUAUCUGGUUUCUGAUCAUUUACUAGGAAAAACUACUAAUAGUUCGUUAUAAGUUAGUUAGUACCGUUCUUACCUGCCUAUACAGUGCUAUCUACGAUAUAAACUCAUGGUUUUAAUAUAUACACUUUAUAUGAAUAGUUCAAGGGGGUGUGAAUUUGAAAACGAACAGGAGUUCGUUUCCUUAUACUGUUCUCGAUCUAUUACUUGUCACUCGACUGACCUCUUACAGGGUCACUUCAUCUAGAGGUUUGUUUCGUACGAAACCUGAAUUGAUCACUUUUAGUUACCAAUUCUCACGAUGUCUCGUUAUCUCAUGAUCAUUCGUACUGGUAAAAUUUGAAAAUGUUACUAUUUUCUCCUAGUUGUUCAAAUUUACUACUGACACGGUUUACCAAGGAUUUCUCUCGUACUAGGGUUCUUGUUUUACUUGACCUUAAUUUAGAACACUAGUUUAGUGAAUAAAUGUCUCUAUUUCGUUACUAAUAUAAUAAUAAUCAGAGUGGUAUCCUUGUAUGGUGGCUAGGGCUCUUGUACCAUAUGUGGACCGAGCUGGUUAAUAAUCAAAAAAACAAACAGAGGGGUUUCCUUGUAUGGUGGCUAGGGCUCUUGUACCAUAUGUGGACCAAACUGUUAAUGUAUAAAUAAAUAAAUAAUGAUAGGUUCGAUGGUCUAAAGUGUACGGUAGCUAGGUCCCUUGUACUGUACGAUGACAUCCAUCUGGUCUGAAUAAAUAAGUUAUAAUGAAUAGAAUUUACUUGUUGUGUAUUCGUGUUUUUGUCCUUAGUAGUGAAGAGGUACAGACCAAGUGUACGAUGGCUAGGUCCCUUGUAUCGUACGAUUAGGUAUCACCAAUCCACUAACGAGAGUUACCCUUGUGUGAAUCGUGUUUAAGUCGUAGAUUUGUACCACUAGAUCCACAUAGUUCCAUUUUCGUCUUUUACUAGUUCAAAAGAUCACAUGAUCCCUAAACUCGUGAGUUUUGAUUAUUGAAGGUGUUUAAAGUCGUUUCGUACGUACCACAUCUAGUGAUCAAAUGUUCCGUAAGUCUUUAGUUCAAGUGUUUAAGUGUAGUUCGUGUUACGGUUUCCACUUAAAGUCGAACUGUUGUUCAUUAUUGAUCGAGUUCGUUGGGUUGAUCGUUAACUUAAGUCGUACAUAAAUACUGUAAGUCUUACCCAGUACUUUGUAGAGUGGCCCGAAAGUAGUACAUCGUGAGCGAGCUAGUGGAGUGGUUGACGUCGAGGAGAGGAAAACGAAGAGAUAGGAGUACGGACGAGGUCGAAGAGGGAAGGAGCACACACGGGGGAACGAAGAGGAGUAGGGGUACGAGACUCGGGUGGUCCCAGGGUUCCUUACAGUGGAGCUUGGACCAGUCGUACAUUACCUAGCACGUGUUCGUUUUUGGACUUUCUCGUAAGUUGCUUUCUCUGUUACGUUCACCAUCCCUAUUAUGGGAGGUUCAGUAGUUAGCUUAUAGGUUAAUGUAUUCGUAUCGAUAUUUCGUGUACAAAUCCUACCAUCUUUAGUCGUUCCAGCUGUGAUUGUACUCCUACUUUAAAUAGUAAUUCGAGUUCUGAUCGUACCCUUAUUAUACAAAGUAAUUCGUAUCCUGAUCGUAUUCCUUUUAUUCACAGUAGUAGUCCUUACUCUCGU